UGGGGUGUGGCUCAGUGGUAGAGCACCUGCCUAGAAUCCCCCAGUGAGGGGCUGGGGUGUGACUCAGUGGAGAAGUGCUAGACCCUAGGUUCCAUUCCCAGCACCACAA
rnacentral:tRNA from 1 species